rnacentral:lncRNA from 1 species
AAAAGCUACGUGGAACAGUUUCUACCUGCAUGCGGACAAGCUGUUGACGCGACGGAAAAAGAGGCCAAGAAAGACAAAACCGACCGCCGGGCAUGUGUAUCAGAGAGCUGCGGCGGUGAUCUGUUGUCUGUACUCUCGAAAACGACGGACCAGAAAUGAUGUCGUUAGGCCAAAAAUGAUUUCAAAUGACUAACACGGAGCAGAGACAACGUGUCAUUGAGAGGUUGUUGCGACACGAAUUUACAAAACACUCCAAUUACCAGCUCCUUUCAUAGUCAUUAUCUUUGCUAAGGCAUCUACACGCCGCUAAUAUGUCGUUCAGUCGGGAGCAACUGAUUCAAGUGUGGUUUUUGUGGGUUCACACGCAGAACAGGGCCUGGUGUAUCUCCGGGCAGCCCAAGGUGUGCAGAGUGGAGCAGGGAGAGGCGUGGACGGCGUGUCAUGCAAGGACAAGACGGUGACAGGGCAAAUAUGGUGGAUGGGAGCGUUAAUGUGUGUGUGUGUGUGUGUGUGUGUGUGUGUGUGAGUGUGUGCAUGUACUUGUUAGUGAAUGUGCAUGUGUGUUGGAGGAAGAAUAGAGGGAGAACAAGAAGGAGAGAACGAGGGAAAGAGAGGUGUGAUAUCAUCAAUUAAAUAACCCUCCCACACAGCAUCUGGUGCUCUCUCUCUCUCUCUCUCUCUCUCUCUCUCUCUCUCUCUCUCUCUCUCUCAGGCCGUCUGUCUGGCCCUGUUCAGACCUGGCAUCAGUUUGCGUCUUGGGUGAUUCGAUGACAAGUGGAUCGUCAGCUCCGAGGGCUUUUUCAUACUUUACGUGCGCCUGGAGUGACCACGGGUGAUCAGAUUCACAUAAGGAGAACGCAGCAGGUGAUUGUCCUGGUCAGAUGCAUUCACAAAAGCGGGACAACUCCAGAACAUUCAGGGUUUACCUCAGUGGUGGAUUCACAGUGACAUCUCAAUUUCACUUUUUAUCCUCGUUGGCAUCGGGGCCAAUGCUGACUCUGCUCGUGUCCAAGGGGAAUGGCGGGGAGGAGGUACAUCCUGUAGACAGCCUCCUUCUCCUUGAAGAGUCGCUGCGCUGA